rnacentral:rRNA from 1 species
UACGGAGGAUGCAAGCGUUAUCCGGAUUCAUUGGGUUUAAAGGGUGCGCAGGUGGGUUUGUAAGUCAGUGGUGAAAUGCUGCCGCUUAACGGUAGAAUUGCCAUUGAUACUGCGAGUCUUGAGUAUGGUUGAGGUAGGCGGAAUGUGUUGUGUAGCGGUGAAAUGCAUAGAUAUGACACAGAACGCCGAUUGCGAAGGCAGCUUACUAAGCCAUUACUGACGCUGAGGCACGAAAGCGUGGGGAGCGAACAGGAUUAGAUACCCUGGUAGUCCACGCUGUAAACGAUGUUCACUCGCUGUUUGCGAUACACAGCAAGCGGCUUAGCGAAAGCAUUAAGUGAACCACCUGGGGAGUACGAUCGCAAGGUUGAA